CAUACAUACUAGUAAUAUACCAACCACCGUACAUACACCAUAACGGCGCUAAUUGCCACCUCCCUCCACCGUGAACCUCCCACUCCCAGCGUUAAUCCCAACCAAAUUCCAAAACCCACCUAACAAAACCAAUUUGAUGUUGAGAAGUAUCAGUCUUUUGCCUUCAUCACUGAGCCUCCGUGCAGCAUCUUCACUGCACAUUCUACCGGAAAUGGCCUCAAAGGGUAAAUCUUUUUUACACUCUGAGUCAACCCUUUUAAAUUCUUCCAAUAAUCAUGAUGAAUUUUCAGCUGAUGUAGAGAAGGUUUAUAGAAUUUUGAGAAAGUUUCACUCAAGGGUUCCAAAACUUGAGCUUGCUUUGCAAGAAUCUGGUAUCCUGGUACGUUCAGGCUUGACCGAACGUGUGUUGAGUCGUUGUGGUGAUGCUGGGAAUUUAGGCUACAGAUUCUUUGUAUGGGCCUCAAAGCAACCUGGUUAUAGGCAUAGUCAUGAUACAUACAAAUCAAUGGUCAAGAUUUUGGGGAAAAUGAGGCAGUUUGGUACUGUAUGGGCACUUGUUGAGGAGAUGAGGAGAGAGAAUCCUCAGUUUUUGACACCAGAACUGUUUAUUGUAUUGAUGAGGAGAUUUGCCUCAGCUAGAAUGGUAAAGAAAGCGAUCCAAGUGUUGGAUGAGAUGCCCAAAUAUGGUUGUGAGCCAGAUGACUAUGUUUUCGGGUGUUUGUUGGAUGCUUUGUGUAAGAAUGGUAGCGUAAAAGAGGCAGCUGUAUUGUUUGACGAAAUGAGGAUUAGGUUUAGCCCUACCAUAAAGCAUUUUACUUCAUUGUUAUAUGGUUGGUGUAAAGAAGGGAAGCUUAUGGAGGCGAAAGUCGUGUUGGUGAAAAUGAGGGAGGCAGGUUUCGAGCCAGACAUUGUGGUUUAUAACAACUUGCUCAAUGGUUAUGCAGUGUCUAGGAAAAUGGCUGAUGCAUUUGAUCUUCUGCAGGAGAUGAGAAGAAAAGGUUGCAACCCUAAUGCAACUUCUUAUACAAUAGUAAUUCAGGCGCUUUGUUCGCAAGACAAGAUGGAGGAAGCUAUGCGGAUAUUCUUGGAUAUGGAGAGAAGCGGAUGUGAAGCUGAUGUUGUGACGUAUACUACCUUGAUAAGUGGAUUUUGUAAGUGGGGAAAGAUUGAAAAAGGUUAUGAACUUCUGGAUAAUAUGCUGCAGAAAGGGUAUAAUCCAAAUCAGACUACUUAUUUGCAUAUAAUGUUAGCCCAUGAGAAGAAGGAAGAGUUGGAAGAGUGUUUGGAACUUGUUAAGGAAAUGGAAAAUAUCUGUAUACCUCCUGACCUUAGCAUCUAUAAUACAGUAAUUCGGUUAGCUUGUAAAUUGGGGGAAAUUGAUGAAGCUGUGCAAGCAUGGAACCAAAUAGAAGCGAACGGGAUCAGUCCGGGGGUUGACACCUUUGUCAUUAUGAUUAAUGGUUGUGUUGAUCAAGGGCGUCUAAUAGAAGCUUGUGAUUACUUUAAAGAAAUGAUCGGACGAGGUCUUCUGUCUGCUCCUCAAUAUGGUACUCUGAAGGACCUGUUGAAUACUUUGUUACGAGCAGAGAAACUUGAACUAGGUAAAGAUGUCUGGAGUUGCAUAAUGACCAAAGGAUGUGAGCUUAAUGCGUAUGCAUGGACCAUUUGGAUUCAUGCAUUGUUUUCAAAUGGACAUGUGAAAGAGGCUUGUUCGUACUGUUUAGAUAUGAUGGAUGCCGGUUUGAUGCCUCAGCCAGACACGUUUGCUAAGCUUAUGUGGGGUCUAAGGAAGCUUUAUAAUAGACAGAUUGCUGCAGAGAUUACAGAGAAGGUGAGAAAAAUGGCCGCAGAGAGAAAUAUGACUUUCAAGAUGUACAAGCGACGUGGUGAAAGAGACUUGACAGAAAAAGCUAAGGCAAAACUGGAUGGGAGAAAGAGGAGAGCUCGUCGACGCCGUUGGGGUAGCCAUCGUAGGCAGGCUAACACUUUAUGAUAUGAGAUAUAAGUGAGGAGGAUGCUACCAUGUUGACACUGUUUGACUGCAUAUUACGUGGAGGGGGUAGCCCGGUGCACUAAGCUCCUGCUAUCGCUGUGUCCAGGGAAGGGUUGAACCACAUUGGGUCUUAUGUACGCAGCCUUACCUUGCAUUUCUACAAGAGGAUGUUUCCGCGGCUUGAACCCGUGACCUCCUGGUCACAUGGCGGCAGCUUUUACCGUUGCACCAAAACUAUGUAACUCACUUGAUUCACCAAGUAUGAUCAACAAACUUUUAGCGUAUUUACUUUAGUGUGCUUUAGUAGAGAUGGUACUUGCCGAGCUUCCAAUUGACGAAAGUCCUCUCUUUAUCUGAAACACAUUAAUUUGGACUGUCAUUGACACUGAGGGGGAAGGUCUUUCAAGAAGAGUGAUAACUUAUUGAAGACAUUUCGUCUGUAUUAGGAGCGAAAGAUACAAGGACUCGGAAGUUCAUUGCUCGUGCCUUAGUCCCAAGAUUUAGGGGUGUCUGUGCGAGAUGGAGUGGAGGUACAUUUUUCUCAUUUUUGUUUGCAUCAGAGUGUAGCUUGGUUCCGUAGUUUUUUUUUUCCUUUUGAUGUGGUUCAGUAGUAAUAACAAAAUAUAUAGAUAUCGAUGGAGAUGUUUUAAUAUGGUAUCAGUCCUUUUAGUUGCAUGUAUAUGUGCAUGUGCAAGUGUUCAUGCAAUUAAUACAGUGAUUUGGAGACACGACAUGCUUCCCUGCAAUUAAUAUAUGUCGAAUUGAUGCCUUCCUAAAAAGUGAGAAAUAUUCAGUGCGCUAUUUUCUACACCUUGGAUCAAUUAGAAAGUGAAAGUAGAAAGAUACUGUGGAGUUUUUCUUCGUGUAAACUGCAUCUGUUUGUUGGCUGUGGAGCUUUUUCUACCUACUGCUUGUGACCUCUUUGAAGAAUGGGCCCUAUUCUUCCUUGCAAACAAAAGCGUAUGUUAUUCUCAUAUUCUGGCAGCAUGGAUUUGGAGUGUCCACAUUUAGCAAAUGAGCAUCCAAGGCAUGGUGGGAGUUCAUUCAACAAUACUGUUAUAAAAUUUGUAAAUAUUCUGUAAUUACUGAAUCUGAUUAUGGAAUAUUGUUUAUCAAUUAGGGAGGGGGAAUAGACAAGAUGACUUGGCACCUUUCUUUGGUCAAGGAUCUUAUUUAUCUUUUUUCUCCUUUUUUUGGCAUUUUUCUAUUUCCCCCAGCUUUAUUUAACUACUCAAUAUUGUAAAAAAUCAAAGUCACUCAUUUAACUA